UGGGGAAUAUUGGACAAUGGGCGCAAGCCUGAUCCAGCCAUGCCGCGUGAGUGAUGAAGGCCCUAGGGUUGUAAAGCUCUUUCGCCAGGGACGAUAAUGACGGUACCUGGAUAAGAAGCCCCGGCUAACUUCGUGCCAGCAGCCGCGGUAAUACGAAGGGGGCUAGCGUUGUUCGGAUUUACUGGGCGUAAAGCGCACGUAGGCGGAUCUUUAAGUCAGAGGUGAAAUCCCAAGGCUCAACCUUGGAACUGCCUUUGAUACUGGGGAUCUCGAGUCCGGGAGAGGUGAGUGGAACUGCGAGUGUAGAGGUGAAAUUCGUAGAUAUUCGCAAGAACACCAGUGGCGAAGGCAGCCCCCUGGGAUGACACUGACGCUCAUGUACGAAAGCGUGGGUAGCAAA
rnacentral:rRNA from 1 species